GCGCCGGUGGUGUAAGGCGAACAUCGCUGCCCGGAAAGCAGAAGAUGCGGGUUCAAGUCCCGCCUGGCGAA
rnacentral:tRNA from 1 species